CUACGUAUGGGCCGAGACCGACGGCUCCCAAAGGGACCAGGAUAUGCGAGUUGCUUUGAAUUCUGCCCCCUAAGGCUCCACGAACCAGCACUCUUGCCCUGCUGCCAGCAGCCAUUGGUCAUCCAUUCCCUUGUACGAAAUAAAUUUGAUCUAGAAGCU
rnacentral:lncRNA from 1 species